ensembl:lncRNA
CGAGAAGCAGCAGUACCAAGAGGACGCGGAGCGGGAGUGACGAGAAUAACAUUGCACUCUCUGCUCCUUGGAUGACAAGCGCUCCUUUCUCCUUCUCCUUCUCCCCCCCGGACCGCCUCCCCACCCUGCAACUCCUCCGAACAAGUCACCGUCUCACCUCUUCCUUUUCCCUCCCUCUCUCUCUCUCUCUCUACGCCCGUCUCCGCGUCUUCCUUUUAAUCUUAAAUGUAGGAUACUUUAUUGUCUCCCCACCCCCCCUCUCCAUCCCUCCCUCCCUCCCUCCCUCCCUCCCAUCCCAGAGAUGCGCGCAAUGAGAAAUCUUUAGUCGCCAGUGACUUGUCACAGCAGCAGCGUCGGCAGUUCAACCCGGUUCCGUGUUGAAGACACCACCAAACAGCCCGGGAUCUCAGUCAGACGUGUUUUGGAGAUGCUUCUGCCUCCACACAUUGACACGUUGGAAUCGUGCGCUGUCGUUUAAACACUGAAUCCUGCGCUCCGACGCGCGUUUCUGCGAAUUACAUUUUUUUCUCCCUUAAUAGCAGCUUUUUGACCUUCUAGUGGAGUGACAUGGAUGAUUUAUGUACGUGCAAAGUUUGACCGACGCCAGCAACCGAGGGGACACCUUGUGGUGUGCGCACAGUGGACCACCUGUCUGCGGAUCUGGUGCAAGCGUGCGCCAAUGUUGCUCGGUUAAUUGAGAGGAGGACGGUCAUUCUUUUCGUCCAGGACUCAACUUCAAAGCGAUCAGGCAUUCCCCGUUCUCUAGUGUUUAGCGGGGGUUUGCAGCCUCGGUGAGAAGGGGAUGUUGUUUCCAACGUGCUCAUGGAUAUAGCCCGAUAAUGAUUGUAUUAUUGACACUUGGAGUAAGGUCCGUCACUUGAGUGUCUCAGCCCUUAUCGACUUUUGUGGAAAGCCUUCUAAAUGGGAGGAUACCUGGAGGACUGACUCGGAUUUGGUGUCGAGAGAAUGUGGAUUAAACGGUGUAUAACGCGCAGCAGUGCAUCAAGUUUACCGGAUCGAAAUCCCAGACAACCCGGCGGAAGCGCACUGCUCUCCCGUGAACGUUGCCUGCACGUGGCAGUGCGGAUUACAACGACGUGUGGUGUGCCCCAGGGGAGACUUCGGGGCCCUCUUAAACCUGCUCACUCAACCUGGUCAGUCUGCGAAUAACUCCAUCAAUACAUAGAUACGAACCAGAAUAAUAUUUGUCAAGCCACAUGUCAAUCCAUCCAGGGAAUUUUCCCUAUAAAUAAUAUUCCAUGGUCCACUUUCGCAUCGCCAUGGGAACAUCUUGACGCUACCCUCACCGCGUGGGAAUAAGAAAAGAAACGCUGACAGUAUUUUUGGGCUUGAAUAAGGUCAUGUACAAAAACGGUCUAAUGUUAAACCAGCUGGAAGAUAUGCCCGCCGAAUUCUGUAAACUAGGUUUCCGCAGUAAACAACGCGAGUGUUGCUGAUGCGUUUCGUAAGCGUGGACAUGGCGGUCGACAAUGGGAAGAUGUACAUGAUUCAGGUUUAAGUGCACCUGUUGACGUUAAGUGACCGUGAUGAUGGUUCCAGUCAGUCUCUCGGCACCCCCCCCC